rnacentral:lncRNA from 1 species
UUAGAUACUAACCGUUUUCGAAUGAUGCUUGGCAUCUUGGCAUACCAAGGGCCGGCCUUAUAGGGAGUGAACUCAAGCCCUAGCUUUGUGCCACCACUUGUCAAGGGCCUCCGAUUUGGGCUUGUUGUAGGCAUCUAGGUAUGGGGAUUUAGGUAUUGGAGCCUGGAGGAGGGAACCCAUAGAAAAUUAGGUCUCAAAAUAUAAGCGGGAAGGAAACUAGAAGUCGUGAAACGAUUGGGGAAGAUCAAUCGUCAUCAAGCGCAUACUUUUUUUGGGUAAUACGCACAUCUGAUCGAAGGUAAGUGAUUGUUGUUUCUGCGAUCGAAAAAACUUUAUUAAUACCAGUAAGUUUUCUUUCUUUCGAUUUUCAUUACUACUAUUUGAUUUUCUAAUCUACAAUUCUUGAUGUGUUCAAUAGUUGGCAAUCACAAAUUGAUAAUAGAUCUUGUUGUAAGAAACUGUAACAGAUGAUAUCACAAUCUCCAUGAUUUGUAGUUUGGUAUUCUCUUUAUUUCAGUUCCCAAAACGCAUUAGACAUAACGGAGUAUGUUUAUGGUCACUGUAUUCGUGUGCGGUUUUCUGUCUUGUCGCGAUUGUUAACGCUGAAGACCCGUAUCGGUUCUUUACGUGGAACGUAACAUAUGGAGACAUAUAUCCAACGGGCAUUCGUCAACAGGGAAUCUUGAUCAACGGACAUUUUCCCGGACCGGAAAUAUAUUCUGUCACAAAUGAUAAUCUGAUCAUCAAUGUGUUCAAUAAUCUGCCGGAGCCUUUUCUUAUUUCAUGUUUGCUUUAGGCCUCCGAAUUGGUUGAGCGGGCUCUGCCUCUCACCUAACCAUAACACCACCAUCGUUACCACCACUCUGAUAAUUUCAGCCAAGAACCACCAGCUAAAGAGUUUGGCCAAGAAUCAUCACCGACCUACCACCACACCUCAACCAUCACCGCAGCCAACUGUCUUUUUUCGGAGAUGAAGACUUUUGUUUUGAAUGUAUUUUUUUUUUGUUUAUGUUUAUUUCCAAUGUCUUGAAAAUUAGCUCUAAAACUUGAAUAAGACAAAAUUAUGUUUAGUGAAGGGUUCAACCCAACAACUUUUGUUUGUGAAGACUAUAUGUAUAAGAAAAUAAUUUAACAGGAGGGGUAGUAUUGUAAUUUGCAAGCAUGGCAUUUUUGUAAUUAUGUCGGGCACUGUU